rnacentral:rRNA from 1 species
GACGAACGCUGGCGGCGUGCUUAACACAUGCAAGUCGAACGGAAAGGCCCUGCUUUUGUGGGGUGCUCGAGUGGCGAACGGGUGAGUAACACGUGAGUAACCUGCCCUUGACUUUGGGAUAACUUCAGGAAACUGGGGCUAAUACCGGAUAGGAGCUCCUGCUGCAUGGUGGGGGUUUGAAAGUUUCGGCGGUUGGGGAUGGACUCGCGGCUUAUCAGCUUGUUGGUGGGGUAGUGGCUUACCAAGGCUUUGACGGGUAGCCGGCCUGAGAGGGUGGCCGGCCACAUUGGGACUGAGAUACGGCCCAGACUCCUACGGGAGGCAGCAGUGGGGAAUAUUGCACAAUGGGCGGAAGCCUGAUGCAGCAACGCCGCGUGCGGGAUGACGGCCUUCGGGUUGUAAACCGCUUUCGCCUGUGACGAAGCGUGAGUGACGGUAAUGGGUAAAGAAGCACCGGCUAACUACGUG